UACGUAGGGCGCAAGCGUUGUCCGGAAUUAUUGGGCGUAAAGAGCUCGUAGGCGGCUUGUCACGUCGAUUGUGAAAGCCCGAGGCUUAACCUCGGGUCUGCAGUCGAUACGGGCUAGCUAGAGUGUGGUAGGGGAGAUCGGAAUUCCUGGUGUAGCGGUGAAAUGCGCAGAUAUCAGGAGGAACACCGGUGGCGAAGGCGGUUCUCUGGGCCUUACCUGACGCUGAGGAGCGAAAGCGUGGGGAGCAAACAGG
rnacentral:rRNA from 1 species